UCAAAAGUAGGGAAGCCGAUGGUGCGGCC
rnacentral:piRNA from 1 species